UUGGUAUGCAGUUCUAGGGUAUGAGGGUGAGAGUUCUGCUGUGCAUCUUUUGGUAAGACCACAAAAAUUAUACUUCAUAUCAAUAUCUUUAUUUCUAAUAAUUAAAAUUAAAAAAUAUUUUAUGUAGUUCUGUUAUAUUUUUAUUUUAUGUUUUACAAUAUAUUGCUAAUUUUAUUUUUAUUAUGUAGACUGAUUCUAUGUCAGGUCUUGUGUUGGAUGCUCGUUGUGCUUUAUCUACGAC
rnacentral:lncRNA from 1 species